GCCGCCGUAGCUCAGCGGGAGAGCGCCCGGCUGAAGACCGGGAGGUCCGGGGUUCGAAUCCCCGCGGCGGCACCA
rnacentral:tRNA from 1 species